UACAGAGGUCCCAAGCGUUGUUCGGAUUCACUGGGCGUAAAGGGUGCGUAGGUGGCGGGGUAAGUUUGAUGUGAAAUCUCCGAGCUCAACUCGGAAAUGGCAUUGAAUACUACUCUGCUCGAGGUUUGGAGGGGGGACUGGGAAUUCUCGGUGUAGCAGUGAAAUGCGUAGAUAUCGAGAGGAACACCAGUGGCGAAGGCGAGUCCCUGGACAACACCUGACACUGAGGCACGAAAGCUAGGGGAGCAAACAGG
rnacentral:rRNA from 1 species